CAAAUACGUAAGGGACUAUGUCUUAUUAAAUUCUAAAUAAUAAGCUGAUAAUGACAAUUUAUUAUUUAAAAGUCUUGACCAAAUCUUGUGCCAGCAGUCGCGGCAAUACAAGUAAGACGAGUGUUAUUCAUCAUUAUUAGGUUUAAAAUGUACCUAGAUUGCGACCCUCGCCUUAUAAAGGAACAGGGUGAGCUAGAGUUUUAUGUGAGAGGUAUAUGUUAAAGCUGCAGGUGUAAAGAUGAAAUAAGUUGAUACUUGUAGAAAUGAUAACGGUAAAUACAGGCCUUUAUGUAAAAACUGACAUUGAGGGACGAAGGCCUGGGUAGCAAAUAGGAUUAGAUACCCUAGUAGUCCAGGCAGAAAAUUAUGAGUGUUAUAUAUUAUAGUAAUGUAGUGUAUAAAUUAAAGUGUAAGCAUUCUACCUCAAGAGUAAUGCGGCAACGCAGGAACUGAAAUCAUUAGACCGUUUCUAAAACCAGUAGUGAAGUAUGUUAUUUAAUUCGAUGACCCUCGAAUAACCUUACCACAAUUUGAAUGUAUUAUCUUUUUGCGCAAAACAAUCUCAAGUUUAUUUAAAAACAAAAGAUUAUUAAGCGCAUUUAAUUUUAGUAUAAAUAUACUAAAACCUAGAUAAUAUACAGGCGUUGCACGGUUGUCUUUAGUUAAUGUCGUGAGAUUAUGAUUAGAUUCAUUAAAUUAGCGUAAACCCUUGUUUUAUUUAGUUAUUAUGGAACAUAGCAACGUGAAGUUUUUUUGCGCAUG
rnacentral:rRNA from 1 species